UACGAAGGGGGCUAGCGUUGUUCGGAAUUACUGGGCGUAAAGCGCGUGUAGGCGGCUUUUUAAGUUAGGGGUGAAAUGCCAAGGCUCAACCUUGGAACUGCCUUUGAUACUGGAGAUCUUGAGUCCGGGAGAGGUGAGUGGAAUUGCGAGUGUAGAGGUGAAAUUCGUAGAUAUUCGCAAGAACACCAGUGGCGAAGGCGGCUCACUGGCCCGGAACUGACGCUGAGACGCGAAAGCGUGGGGAGCAAACAGG
rnacentral:rRNA from 1 species